GCUGUGGCUGAGUGGUAAAGCACAUCGUCUGCAUGUCAAAGGCUCCAGGUUCAAUCCUGGGCAUCUGCA